UACGUAGGGCGCAAGCGUUGUCCGGAAUUAUUGGGCGUAAAGAGCUCGUAGGUGGCGUGUCGCGUCUGCCGUGAAAGCCCAUGGCUUAACUGUGGGUCUGCGGUGGAUACGGGCAGGCUGGAGGCUGGUAGGGGCAAGCGGAAUUCCUGGUGUAGCGGUGAAAUGCGCAGAUAUCAGGAGGAACACCGGUGGCGAAGGCGGCUUGCUGGGCCAGUUCUGACGCUGAGGAGCGACACGUGGGGAGCGAACAGG
rnacentral:rRNA from 1 species